UUUAUAUGUCAACUAUGCGUGCCGUUUCCUGCUUGAAUUUAAUGAUGGUGAGCAGGAUCGUGAUCCUUUGUAUCUGAAGUAAUAAUUAGUUUUUAUUCAAAAUAUGUGCAAAUUAAAGUUAGAUCAUUGUUAGACCUUGCAUUUCUAUGAAUCUCCAUGAGUUUGUGAGGCGAUGGAUUCUAAAAGUAUAUCAAGCUCUUCUGUUUGAGAUUAUUACAAAUAUACUACUCUUCUAUACUUUUUGUUCUUGAGCACUUCAAUUAAUUUACAUCUCUGCUUUCUUACUUUAUUUUCUUGAUUUGUAUGUAUUAAAAGCCUGCCAAUGGCCCAAUACUCAUUAAAUCUUAGAGAGUAGUCAUUACUUUAGGAAAAUACAACUCAUCGCGAUCACCAAACAACGUAGUCAUGACCCGAAAUUGAAUAUCGUUUAUGUCAUUUGUCAUUUAUGACUUUAUCUACUCCUAUAACAAAUAAUGUGUGCUACAAAACUGACAGAAGUUUCUAAAGUGCACAUAAGGAAAUAGAUGACUUAAUGUUCCGAAGAUUCCUCUUACUUGUAAUCUUGUGAAGAAGACGGGUUCCAUGUUCUUAAAGUAUUUGAAAAGGAGGCAGACUUUUCUGCCUAAAGUUUGUCAUAAGAUAAGAGAAACAUUAUGACCUUUCCCAUAACAAAGUUAAUCUAGGAGGCAUAGAUAAAAAAAAAAGGACACCCUACUAUGAUUGCGUUCGCAGGUGGGCAUUACCUAAAUUCCAAAUCUGGUCGGGGGUCUUGAUGAGUUUAAGCGUCUUCUUGUAUAAAAUCUUGAUGAUCUGUGAGCAAUAAUACACCCCUUGAAUCUGUCAGCUAGCCCUGAUACAACAGCUGAGUUGUAGUAACUCUAAAGUUGUUGUAGUUCUCACUCGCUCGCUCUGCUUUGUUGAGUUUCAGGGGGAAAAGAGGAGAAGAUCGAGAGGAAGACAAUCUCAGAGAAGUUCUCAAGCACUCUGCUCAAAUGCUUUUGGAGCUCCGAACCUCAUAAUAAGUAUCUCUCUUGCUAAAUUGUUGCUUCUUCGUGUUUCUUCUGCACAUCCUAUGUGCCUUGUUCUUGAGUAGGCUUGGGAUGAAGGCAUCAUUGGCAUUCCAGAAUAAUGGUGCUGAAUGAAUAGUGGGUUCUAUGAAUUGUUUUUGGGUUUAUUUCUUAAGAUAUACUGCUUUGAUUAAUAAUUUGGUGGUUACAAAUAUCUCUUAAUAUGGGUGACAUUCAGAAUGCUCCUCUUUCAGAAGAGGAAACUACUUGUAGGUUUCUUUUGUAUGAACUUCAGAUAAUUUGGGAUGAAGUGAGCAAGCCUGAAAUAUUAGGGCCAAGAUGUUACUUAUAGGAGUGGAGCAAGUGCUUAAAGGCGCCAAGAAGACAAGGAUACAACCAUACUCUCGGAUGGUAGAUGAAGCAUGUGUGAGAUGGUGAUGGAGUUAUAGGUUGAGGUUAUGGGAUUUAAUUUCAUUUGUAGUACGAGUAGUAUUUAAUUUAUAGUUUUAAAUGGUAGAAAUGGAUAGAAUUAGAUACGUAAAUGAUGAAGUAAUGCAAGAGCAUAUAAGUGAAUAUAUGAGAAUAAUGUGUACUUGUUUUCAACUUCAAUAUGUGUACUGUGAUUUUAGUAGAGAAAUUAUAUCUUUGUUCUUGAGGCUAGGUA